ensembl:lncRNA
GAUGAUGCAUCAGGGGAAAACCCUGGGUGUCUGGAUAAAAAUGAAAAAUGAGAGCACAUGCUUGCAAACAGAAGGCAGAAAAUAACUUCACCAAGCUAAUUUUAUUGCAUUACAAUUAGUAAUUCAAGCAUUAAAAUACACUGUGAUCCAAAAACUAAUUUGGAUAUAUAGACUACCCUUAAAAAUUUAUGAAUGACUUUGAAUUAUAUAACAAAAUAUCAAAUCAAGCAGGACUGUGAUAGCAAAGCUGAUUUUCCAGCAGCCGUUAUUCAAAAGAACAGAGAUUAUUUGAAAUAGAAAUAUUUUGUAACAAUUGACAGUAAAAUAUAUUUUACUGUCAUUUAAUGCAUCUUUGCUGAAUAAAAGUAUUAAUUUCCUUUAAAAAUCUGAUAAAUAAAUUAUGAGAAUUAGCUGAUACCACUUAGUUUGUUAUUUUGAAAUCCAGUGCAACAUUUAUACAUUUUUAGGUUUGUCUCUUGUCUAAAUGUCUCCAAAUUCAGUUUCUGUGGCCACUGUAUGCACAAUGCCAUUCGUUUGUGUAUUUGUUAUAUCUUUUAAACUUUCAGUCUUUUGUCUUUUUAGAAGCUGGGAUGCAUCACCUGUUAUCCGCUGUGGUCCUCCUCAGGGACUACAGGUAUUCACUUCUCAUACGACAUGCUGCUCAAAGGAGGCCAGCUGGUCAGUGAUCAGGUCUCAACCAAACACCUGGACAUUUGGGGAAAAUUUGAUUACUUCCACAUACUGUGCUGUAGGUAUUCCAUUUUGCCCUGUCCUCGUGUUACCUGAUGACAGCUGAAAGAGUUGAAUUGUUAACAUGUUUCGGGCAAUUUUUGUUGGUUGAUUUAUGGCUUUUUAUUUAGUAAUUUACUAAGAAUUACUUUACACUGUAAGUUAGUUUUAUUUUAUCAUAGUCUUCUCCUGAUUGUAAUGUAAUAUCGUGGAGAAAUCCUCUAUCAUUGUCUCAGGAGUCAGCUAAUGUGUCUUUGGUUUUCCAAAAGAAAAGGUCCUCAAGCAGAUGAGGUUUUACUGAAGCUCCUGGUAAAAUCGUGCAGAGGAUAAUGCCAUGGCUUACAGCCUCUGCGGUGGAACAUAUUGCAGUAAAAGUACCCAUCAACAACACCCCAUGGUUUAUUAUGACUGACACAACACAGUUUGGU